UACAGAGGUCUCAAGCGUUGUUCGGAUUCAUUGGGCGUAAAGGGUGCGUAGGUGGCGCGCUAAGUCAGGUGUGAAAUUUCGGAGCUUAACUCCGAAACUGCAUUUGAUACUGGCGUGCUUGAGGACUGGAGAGGAGACUGGAAUUCACGGUGUAGCAGUGAAAUGCGUAGAUAUCGUAAGGAAGACCAGUGGCGAAGGCGGGUCUCUGGACAGUUCCUGACGCUGAGGCACGAAGGUCAGGGGAGCAAACGGG
rnacentral:rRNA from 1 species